GUGUGUGCGCGCGUGUGUGCGUGUGUUGGUGUGUGUGUGUGUGUGUGCGUGUGUGUGUCUUUGUGUGCGUUCUAUUAAUAUCUCCCAGUGGCGGACAGAGGGGACGAUGGCUGGCGGGUUAUAUAUCUGGACACAUUCUUUCCCUUCAUCUUCAUUCUUUCCAUCUUCCGCAGCAGCAGCAGCAGCAGCAGCAGCAGGAGAAUCAGAGCCAGAAAGCGAGGCUCUAUUUCGGGAGACAAUCCCUCCGUGCCUCUCAGAGCUCUCUGGAAUCUGGCGGGAGAAAGCCGCCGUCGCCGCAGACGGUGUGACAUUCCCCGACGGGCCGCGUCAUCCCCUUCGCCGUGUUCCGUCCGCCGUCACCCUUCUUAUUUCGGUCGCGUGCCUGUCAGCGCCGGGAAGUGGCGGGCGGACAAAGACCAGAUCAAGCCUGACCAGCAUGAUUGCCGAGCAAGU